rnacentral:lncRNA from 1 species
AAUAUGUAUGCAUUCGUUUGAGGAUUAAAGAAGUUUCUGUUGAAAAUCUCCUUAUGUCACAAUUGAUAUCUGAUCCGUCUUCCCGGUUCAGAAGCCUUGGCUACUGUUGUUGAAUGUACCAGUUAUCCUCGUAUUGCCAGGUUGAACCAAAUGGCUCCGAUGCAGAUGUAGCUCAGCCCUCCGAAUGGGUUGGACCUGUAUUGCUGUAU